CUUCUUAUGCUUUCCUCCACGAUAUGAGCUUAUUAAAUAUCCCUUUCAUGUAUCUUGACUUAAGUUCAUUCCUUCCCUACAUAUUAAUUUAAGAAGGUGAGCUGGCUUAAGUAGGUGCUCAGUAGUAAAAACAUUUCUUAGACGUCUUUUCCUUAGUUUAGCGGCCCACAAGGCCAACUCCCAUCUCUUUUGCUCAUCGGCCCAAUCCAUUGCUAGCACCUCGAAAUUAGUAUAGUCAGGGCCUCACCAGUCACACCCAAUCUGUCUUGAAAUCUGGUAAUCGUCACAGAGAAACCAACACCCUGCCACAAUUUUAUGGCCUUAACAACUCUCAUUUCCAUAGUCUCCCAUGCAGCUUGGCAGUUAGUAG